rnacentral:rRNA from 1 species
GCGGCAGGCCUAACACAUGCAAGUCGGACGGUAGCACAGAGGAGCUUGCUCCUCGGGUGACGAGUGGCGGACGGGUGAGUAAUGUCUGGGAAACUGCCCGAUGGAGGGGGAUAACUACUGGAAACGGUAGCUAAUACCGCAUAACGUCGCAAGACCAAAGUGGGGGACCUCCGGGCCUCACACCAUCGGAUGUGCCCAGAUGGGAUUAGCUUGUAGGCGGGGUAACGGCCCACCUAGGCGACGAUCCCUAGCUGGUCUGAGAGGAUGACCAGCCACACUGGAACUGAGACACGGUCCAGACUCCUACGGGAGGCAGCAGUGGGGAAUAUUGCACAAUGGGCGCAAGCCUGAUGCAGCCAUGCCGCGUGUAUGAAGAAGGCCUUCGGGUUGUAAAGUACUUUCAGCGGGGAGGAAGGUGGUGAGGUUAAUAACCUCAGCAAUUGACGUUACCCGCAGAAGAAGCACCGGCUAACUCCGUGCCAGCAGCC